rnacentral:rRNA from 1 species
AGAGUUUGAUCCUGGCUCAGAGCGAACGCUGGCGGCAGGCUUAACACAUGCAAGUCGAACGGGCACUUCGGUGUCAGUGGCAGACGGGUGAGUAACACGUGGGAACGUACCUUUUGGUUCGGAACAACACAGGGAAACUUGUGCUAAUACCGGAUAAGCCCUUACGGGGAAAGAUUUAUCGCCGAAAGAUCGGCCCGCGUCUGAUUAGCUAGUUGGUGAGGUAACGGCUCACCAAGGCGACGAUCAGUAGCUGGUCUGAGAGGAUGAUCAGCCACAUUGGGACUGAGACACGGCCCAUACUCCUACGGGAGGCAGCAGCUAAGAAUCUUCCGCAAUGGGCGAAAGCCUGACGGAGCGACGCCGCGUGGAUGAUGAAGGCCUUCGGGUUGUAAAAUCCUGUCGUUUGGAACGAAGAAAUUUCGUGCUAAUAUCACGGAGUUUCAGACGGUACCAUUAAAGGAAGCCCCGGCCAACUACGUGCCAGCAGCCGCGGUAAGACGUAUGGGGCAAGCGUUGUUCGGAUUUACUGGGUGUAAAGGGCGGGUAGGCGGUCUUGUAAGUCAAAUGUGAAAUACCAAAGCUUAACUUUGGAACUGCAUUUGAAACUGCGAGGCUAGAGUUCGGAAGAGGAGAAUGGAAUUCCCGGUGUAGGGGUGAAAUCUGUAGAUAUCGGGAAGAACACCAGUGGCGAAGGCGAUUCUCUGGUCCGAUACUGACGCUGAGCCGCGAAAGCUGGGGGAGCAAACAGGAUUAGAUACCCUGGUAGUCC